rnacentral:lncRNA from 1 species
CCCAGCUUUGCCACUUAUGUGCUGUGUAAGCCAGUUGCUCUGGAUGGCCAUUUUCUUUUCAAUACAAGGGGUGAAUAUCAAGGUCAAUGAUAUAGCUUGACUGUGUCCCCACCCAAAUCUCAUCUUGAAUUUUCACGUGUUGUGGGAGGGACCCGGUGGGAGGUAAUUAAGUAAUGGGGGCAGGUCUUUCCCAUGCUGUUCUCAUGAUAGUGAAUAAGUCUCAUGAGAUCUGAUGGUUUUAUACAGGGUAGUUUCCCUGCACAAGCCCUUUUUUUGCCUGCUGCCAUCCGUGUAAGAUGUGACUUGCUCCUCCUUGUCUUCUACCAUGAUUGUGAGGCCUCCCCAGUUAUGUGGAACUGUAAGUUCAUUAAACCUCUUUUUCUUCCUGGUCUCUGGUAUGCAUUUAUCAGUAGCGUAAAAAUGGACUAAUACAGUCAAUUUCAAGAUUGGCAAUAAUUCAUAAAAGGAACCUAAAAUAGAUGCUCAAUAAAUGGCCAGUGUAUUGGUGAUUAUAAAUAUUAUUAUUAAUAUUUGUAUUAUCAUAUUAUAUUAUUAAUAUUUGUGUGAUUGUAUUAACUCAGCAUAUACUUUUGUUAACCAAAACACUGGAAUGAAACAUAUAGCAAAGAGAAAAAAAUAGUUUGAUUCCUUGUUUACCAAUUUUGCUUUUUCUGGGUAUUCUCAAUAAGCUUCUUUUGAAAAAUAGAAUGAAAACUAAUAGUUCACAAUCAAAACUAAUAGUUGGAAAACAUUAGUGCUGAAGUCUAACAGAGUAUUGCCAUUAUUGAAAACACAUUAAAUAUUCUAUUGUUAACUCUGUAUUUUUUCCAGUAACCUUAUCAUUUAAACUAAGAUAUGUUUCUGCAAAUAGUCUGUUUUUGUCUUCUUUCCCCUAACGUAUAGUGAGAGAAAUUUAAGUCUCAGAACCUAGACCUAUAACAUUUAUGCAUAAGAUACACAGUGUAUUAUAUAAUCUCUACUCAAUCAUUGUUAUGUAUAUAUUUGAACAAAACUAUUACAUAAAAAUAUUUAAUCUAAGAAGGAUUUAUUUUAAACAGAAUAAAGCCAAGUUUAAAAGUGAUGCCCAUUACAUAUGAUAAAAUAGCUCAUUGGGUUCCUAACUUGCCUGCUUGUUGCAAUCAUGGGGGAACUUCAACAAAUACUGACACCUUUGACUUACUACCCACCCACCGGCUAGAAAAUCAUUCCAUUAUCUGCAUUACGGUCUUGACUUUGAAAUUUUUUAAAGACUUCCUGGUGAGUCUAGUGUGCAGCAAGUUUAGGAAGCACUGGAUUUGCUUCCUCACUAUGUUUCUUUUCUUAGUGCUCAAGCAGUUUCUACCUGUUCUGUU